ensembl:snRNA U6 U6 spliceosomal RNA
GUGCUUGCCUUGGCAGCUCAUAAGGUAAAAUUGGAAUGAUGCAGAGAAUACUAACAUGGUCACUGCACAAGGAUGAUACACAAGUUUCUGAAGCAUUUUAUAUUUUU